rnacentral:rRNA from 1 species
CACGAAUGGAGUAAUGAUGUGGGCACUGUCUCAACGAAGAGCUCGGUGAAAGUGCAUUGACGGUAAAGAUGCCGUCUGUCCGCAGCAGGACGAGAAGACCCCGUGCAGCUUUACUACAGCUUGACAUUGUGCCGAGCUAUAACAUGUGUAGGAUAGGUGGGAGACUUUGAACCCAGGGCGCUAGCUCUGGGGGAGUCGCCGGUGAAAUACCACCCUUGUUAUAGUUUGGUCCUUACCUGACCCUCAAAGAAGAGAGGUUCAGAGGUUAUUAAUGAUAACUUCUGUUCAGAACGUCUCCUCUUUCAGGGUCGGGGACAGUGUCUGGUGGGUAGUUUAACUGGGGCGGUUGCCUCCUAAAGAGUAGCGGAGGCGUUCAAAGGUUGGCUAGGUACGGAUGGAAAUCGUAUCGAUAGUGCAUACGCAUAAGCCAGCUUGACUGUGAGGCCAACAAGCCAAUCAGGGACGAAAGUCGGAGUAAGUGACCCGCUAUAUUACCUUAUGGUAAAAGAGUGUGGAAUCGAUAGCGCAAACGGAUAAAAGUUACGCCGGGGAUAACAGGCUUAUAGCGCCCAAUAGUUCACAUAGACGGCGCUGUUUGGCACCUCGAUGUCGGCUCAUCUCAUCCUGGAGGGGGAGCACCUUCCAAGGGUCCGGCUGUUCGCCGGUUAAAGAGGUACGUGAGCUGGGUUCAGAACGUCGUGAGACAGUUCGGUUUAUAUCCGCUGUGGACGUCAGGAAAUUUGAGAGUAGCUGUCCCUAGUACGAGAGGACCGGGAUGGACGCACCGCUGGUGUACCAAUUGUCAUACCAAUGGCAUCGUUGGGUAGCUAAGUGCGGAAAGGAUAAGCGCUGAAAGCAUAUUAAGCGCGAAGCCUCACUCAAGAUUAGAUUUCCCUAUGAUCUCCCUGAUAGACGAUCAGGUUGAUAGGCGCAAGGUGUAAGCAUGGCAACAUGUUCAGCCGAAGCGUACUAAUAGAGACAUUGACUUUUUACG